GACAGAGGUCCCGAGCGUUAGGCGGAAUCACUGGGCUUAAAGCGUGUGUAGGCGGAUUUGUAAGUACCUUGUGAAAGCCCUUGGCUCAACUGAGGAAGUGCAUCCGAAACUGGCAAGCUAGAGUACUAAAGAGGGUCGCGGAAUUCCCGGUGUAGAGGUGAAAUUCGUAGAUAUCGGGAGGAACACCGGUGGCGAAGGCGGCGACCUGGGUAGAUACUGACGCUGAGGUGCGAAAGCGUGGGGAGCAAACAGG
rnacentral:rRNA from 1 species